AAUGACGUAUAUCGUAUGACGUUGAUAUGCGUCGUUCGUGAACUCAUGUUACGUUGCGCCUAGUUAGUGGUUAAAACAAAGGAGGGCAAGGCGAUAUAAUUCGGAGAACAGAAGAGACGAAAUUGAAAAGAGAAAUAACGUUGACUCAACAGCCUGUCGGUGUAUAUCUAAAGAAACAAGUCAAAUCAAUAUUAUCAUCCAACAGCUAGCUGAGUAAUUUUCACGUAGCAGCAUAUUAACACCUACAUAGCCAGAACCAAUUGUUUAAUUUAAAAAUAAAUUAGAUUCUGUCAAUUCAAUUUUUAAACUAAAAUGCGCACCGGAAAGUGAAAUGAUGGUCCAGUGGAGUAGAAUGAUAUAAAAUAUUUGAAAAUUCAUUUUUUAUAUACAUACGUAUAUUUGUAUAUGACUCAAGACUUCAUUUUAAUUACAGAAAGUAUAAAAUAUAAACGUGGAUAACUUGAAAAUGAGUCAUGUUUUCGAUCACAGCACAUGAUACCAUAAUUUGUACCACGACGGGUUUCAGUGGUUUACUCACAAUAAGAGACAAUGUCAGAGUCGACUAAAGUAUUAGUGAACAUGGACGAGUAGGAUUCGCUUAGUUUGGCAUCACAGCGUUUUACCGGGAGACAUUGGCGGAGGAAUGCGAAAGUCAAGUGGUAGUUGAAUACCGUUCUACUCGUCAUGAAAAUUCAGAUGAAAUUCGUAGAACUGAUGUAGCAAGAACAGUCGCACCACUUUUGGUCGCGGUCAUGUUCUUGACCUUUUCCGUUGUGCUCUGAAAAAUUAUAAUACUGCUGACUAAAACCGUCUUCAUAUCCGCUCAAUCAAGAACGAAUUUUUAAUACGAAUCGUAGCUAUUAAUUUAUUCGACUGGCAGACAGAUUCAUCAAGAUUCUAAACGAGAACUUGUUGGAGCGAUUAUAUACUGUUGUUUUGUAUCUACAAUGUCUAAAAAAAUGAAAUAAAAAUAACAAGACUAUACCACGUUACGUAUAAGCGCGUGUAAUAUUGAUUCACUGAGAAUAAAUUGAAAACGCGCAUCGCCUUUACCACUUGUC